AUUGAACGCUGGCGGCAUGCUUUACACAUGCAAGUCGAGCGGCAGCGCGGGGGCAACCCUGGCGGCGAGCGGCGGACGGGUGAGUAAUGCAUCGGAACGUAUCCCGUAGUGGGGGACAACCCAGCGAAAGCUGGGCUAAUACCGCAUAUGCUCUACGGAGGAAAGCAGGGGACCUGAAAGGGCCUUGUGCUAUGGGAGCGGCCGAUGUCCGAUUAGCUAGUUGGNGGGGUAAAGGCUUACCAAGGCGACGAUCGGUAGCUGGUCUGAGAGGAUGAUCAGCCACACUGGGACUGAGACACGGGCCCAGACUCCUACGGGAGGCAGCAGUGGGGAAUUUUGGACAAUGGGGGCAACCCUGAUCCAGCCAUGCCGCGUGCGGGAAGAAGGCC
rnacentral:rRNA from 1 species